rnacentral:rRNA from 1 species
UACGAAGGGGGCGAGCGUUGUUCGGAAUUACUGGGCGUAAAGGGCGCGCAGGCGGCCCUUGAAGUCAGGCGUGAAAGCCCCGGGCUCAACCUGGGAGGUGCGCUUGAUACUCGAGGGCUUGAGUGCGGGAGAGGAGAGUGGAAUUCCCAGUGUAGAGGUGAAAUUCGUAGAUAUUGGGAAGAACACCAGUGGCGAAGGCGGCUCACUGGCCCGAUACUGACGCUGAGGUGCGAAAGCGUGGGGAGCAAACAGG